rfam:Ictidomys tridecemlineatus contig045953, whole genome shotgun sequence.
GUGGCUCAGUGGUAGAGCACUUGCCUGGCAUGUGUGAGGCCCUGGGUUCAAUCCUCAGC